UACGUAGGGGGCUAGCGUUGUCCGGAUUUAUUGGGCGUAAAGAGCGUGUAGGCGGCCAGAUAGGUCUGCUGUGAAAACUCGAGGCUCAACCUCGAGAUGUCGGCGGAAACCAUUUGGCUAGAGUCCGGAAGAGGAAAGUGGAAUUCCUGGUGUAGCGGUGAAAUGCGUAGAUAUCGGGAGGAACACCAGUGGCGAAGGCGGCUUUCUGGCCUGUUCUUGACGCUGAGGCGCGAAAGCUAGGGGAGCAAACGGGG
rnacentral:rRNA from 1 species